GACGAACGCUGGCGGCGUGCCUAAUACAUGCAAGUUGAGCGCUGAAGGUUGGUACUUGUACCGACUGGAUGAGCAGCGAACGGGUGAGUAACGCGUGGGGAAUCUGCCUUUGAGCGGGGGACAACAUUUGGAAACGAAUGCUAAUACCGCAUAAAAACUUUAAACACAAGUUUUAAGUUUGAAAGAUGCAAUUGCAUCACUCAAAGAUGAUCCCGCGUUGUAUUAGCUAGUUGGUGAGGUAAAGGCUCACCAAGGCGAUGAUACAUAGCCGACCUGAGAGGGUGAUCGGCCACAUUGGGACUGAGACACGGCCCAAACUCCUACGGGAGGCAGCAGUAGGGAAUCUUCGGCAAUGGACGAAAGUCUGACCGAGCAACGCCGCGUGAGUGAAGAAGGUUUUCUGAUCGUAAAACUCUGUUGGUAGAGAAGAACGUUGGUGAGAGUGGAAAGCUCAUCAAGUGACGGUAACUACCCAGAAAGGGACGGCUAACUACGUG
rnacentral:rRNA from 1 species